UACGAAGGGGGCUAGCGUUGUUCGGAAUUACUGGGCGUAAAGGGCGCGUAGGCGGCGUGUCAAGUCAGGCGUGAAAGCCCCGGGCUCAACCUGGGAACCGCGCUUGAGACUGGCAUGCUCGAGUUCGGGAGAGGAUGGUGGAAUUCCCAGUGUAGAGGUGAAAUUCGUAGAUAUUGGGAAGAACACCAGUGGCGAAGGCGGCUCACUGGCUCGGUACUGACGCUGAGGCGCGAAAGCGUGGGGAGCAAACAGG
rnacentral:rRNA from 1 species